UACGGAGGGUGCAAGCGUUAUCCGGAUUCACUGGGUUUAAAGGGUGCGUAGGUUGAUAGGUAAGUCAGUGGUGAAAUACUCCGACUCAAUCGGAGAACUGCCGUUGAUACUAUCUAUCUUGAAUACGGUGGAGGCGGGCGGAAUGCGUCAUGUAGUGGUGAAAUACUUAGAUAUGACGCAGAACACCCAUUGCGAAGGCAGCUCGCUACGCCGGCAUUGACACUGAGGCACGAAAGCGUGGGGAUCAAACAGG
rnacentral:rRNA from 1 species